UGAGAAGAAAAGAAGCUUGCUCAAGGUCACAUAGAGCUGGAAUUUAAAUUCAGAUCUAUUAUACUCCUAAGGACUGUGGAAGGAGCAAAAUCUGAUCCAGGGACUGGGGAUGCUGGAGGAGCGUCAAGGCUGGGAAAGUAACAUGCACUGUGUUCGCAAUCAACAGAAAAGAUAUUUUUAAACAAAAACAAUUUUCCAAGUUUCCAGGAAGAGAAACAAAAGGCUUUUCUAAAAUGAAAGAAACUGUUCUUGUUCUGUGACUUUUAUGUCACUUGGACAACAAGCCAGUGCUUAGAAACAGUUAUUUUCCUGUCGACAUCGCUGCAUGGGUACUUCUUAGAAGGACAUAACAGCAUUAGCACUCAAUCCCAGGCUCUGCUCACCCUCCAAUGGCAGUCAUUUUCAAAAACAAUAAAGAUAUCUGUGCUUGGUC